GAGUUUAUUACUGUGUGGCCACCAAUCAGCUUGGUGAUCAAACAUCCUCAGAGAUCCAUCUGACUAUAGAAGGUAACUAAUAAAGGUGGAGUUAAUUAUCUACUAUUGGGUGCAGUUCUUGGAGGAAUCAUUGGGAUUAUCGUGCUCAUCGGCCUGGUUGUCUUUGUUUGGCGUUUGAAGUCUCCACAUCCAACUGCACAUCAGAGUCAGAAUCAGCCUGUUGGAGAGACAGUGACAACAGAAGAAGGAGGCGUCCACUAUGGAGAGAUUAACUUCUCGGGGCUCAGAUCUGGACCGUCCUCGGUCUCGGAGCAGGACGGUGGACAGCAGGAGGACACGCUGUAUGCGCAGGUCAAAGUGUCCAAGGCAGCAGACAACGUCACACGGACUGCUAACGUCCCAGAGGAUCUCUACGCUCAAGUGAAGAGAAAAUGAGCCGUUUCUUGUGGUCACAUUUGGGCUUUAUUGUUAAGAUGCUUUUUACACAAAUAACAAGCUUCAUCUGUCAGUUUAUGGAGAAAAAGAAUCGUGAGAAAAUGUAAUCUUCACUGCUCAGUUAAUUAAAGAGGAACUUCAAAGAUCCACAU